CCUACGGGUGGCAGCAGUAGGGAAUCUUCCACAAUGGGCGAAAGCCUGAUGGAGCAACGCCGCGUGGGUGAAGAAGGUCUUCGGAUCGUAAAACCCUGUUGUUAGAGAAGAAAGCGCGUGAGAGUAACUGUUCACGUUUCGACGGUAUCUAACCAGAAAGCCACGGCUAACUACGUGCCAGCAGCCGCGGUAAUCCGUAGGUUGCAAGCGUUAUCCGGAUUUAUUGGGCGUAAAGGGAACGCAGGCGGUCUUUUAAGUCUGAUGUGAAAGCCUUCGGCUUAACCGGAGUAGUGCAUUGGAAACUGGGAGACGUGAGUGCAGAAGAGGGGAGUGGAACUCCAUGUGUAGCGGUGAAAUGCGUAGAGAUAUGGAAGAACACCAGAGGCGAAAGCGGCUCUCUGGUCUGGAACUGACGCUGAGGUUCGAAAGCGUGGGUAGCAAACAGGAUUAGAUACCCUGGUAGUC
rnacentral:rRNA from 1 species